GAUGAACGCUAGCUACAGGCUUAACACAUGCAAGUCGAGGGGUAACGAGAGGAAAGCUUGCUUUCCUUGUCGACGACCGGCGCACGGGUGAGUAACGCGUAUCCAACCUGCCCCCAACUAGGGAAUAACCUUGCGAAAGUAAGACUAAUACCCUAUAAUUUCCUCAGAUGACAUCUGACGAGGAAUAAAGAUUUAUCGGUUGUGGAUGGGGAUGCGUCUGAUUAGCUUGUUGGCGGGGUAACGGCCAACCAAGGCAACGAUCAGUAGGGGUUCUGAGAGGAAGGUCCACCACAUUGGAACUGAGACACGGUCCAAACUCCUACGGGAGGCAGCAGUGAGGAAUAUUGGUCAAUGGGCGGAAGCCUGAACCAGCCAAGUAGCGUGCAGGAUGACGGCCCUAUGGGUUGUAAACUGCUUUUAUACAGGAAUAAAGUUAGCCACGUGUGGUUAUUUGUAGGUACUGUAUGAAUAAGGACCGGCUAAUUCCGUGCCAGCCGCCGCGGUAA
rnacentral:rRNA from 1 species